ACUAAAGAAAGAGGGAGGAGAAUAAAAUUACAACCAAAAUAAAAUACAAAGAAAAUGCUAACUAAUCCAUUUGGCUUUCUUAGGGUUUCAAAACCCUAAUUUCAUUUGAAGGGGGCCGAGGCCCUUGUUUGGUCUCCUUUGGGCCAAUGCCUCCAUAUGCCAUCAUCACUUCUCUUCAAACCUCCAAGGAACGCACAAACUUCAUAGAAUUGCCAAAGGGACACUUAAUUGACACUUAUACAAAGAUUAGUACACAAAAGUAACAAAUUAUAUUAAACCGGUAACUGCUCAAUUCAAGAUGUAUAAAACAUGCUUAAAACGACCAAAAUAUAUAAAAUUAAUCUAAACCAAUAGAUUUAGAUAAAAAAUACACAAAGGAACAUAGAAUAGA
rnacentral:misc_RNA from 1 species